GACCACCAGCUUCAAAAUUGCAGUGCAGGUUCUGGCCCAGCAGCGGCCUGGGUGACUGCUAAGUGUUCUUCAGGGAGACAGCAGGGGCAGAGUUGCUGACCCUGUGAACAAAAUGAGAGAUGCUGAGGCAGGCAAGAAGAUCUUUAUUCAAAAAUGUGCUGGGUUCUACUCCUGAAACCAAGACUACACUGGUAUUUGAGUGGCUGGAUGGUUAUUCUGGUCUUGCCUGGGCUCACUCAUGUGGGUCAGCGGAAACCUGGGACAGGAUGGAACAGCUGGACAUCUCCCUGUACAUGGCCUUUCAUUCUCAAGGAGUCUUCACAUGGCAGCAGCAACAUUCCAAGAAGACAAGUCCCAGCAUGUUGUAGUACAUGUGCUGAUGUCCUAUUGGCUGAGAAAAGCCACAGGGCCAAGUCCAAUUAAAAUAGGAGGAGCUACACAGUGGCAUGGAUACUGGGAACUAUUAGUGUAACAAUCUACCACACAGUCCAAUAUACAGAACUCUCUAGAAUAUGAACAGCAUGCUCAAGGAAGCUCACAGUUGUAUAGGAAUGUAUUCUCCUGUGUCCAGGGAUGGUUUAUUUCUGCAGCUGUCUGAUGUGGAGUGACUGGACAACUAAUAAAUUAUAAUAAACCAC